UAACAAGGUUUCCGUAGGUGAACCUGCGGAAGGAUCAUUAUUGAAAUAAACUGAUGGGUUGCUGCUGGCUCUCUAGGGAGCAUGUGCACACCUUGUCAUCUUUAUAUCUCCACCUGUGCACCUUUUGUAGACCUUUCAGGUCUAUGUUGCUUUUUCAUUUACCCCAAUGUAUGUUAAUAGAAUGUUGUGCCUAUAAAAUCUAUACAACUUUCAGCAACGGAUCUCUUGGCUCUCGCAUCGAUGAAGAACGCAGCGAAAUGCGAUAAGUAAUGUGAAUUGCAGAAUUCAGUGAAUCAUCGAAUCUUUGAACGCACCUUGCGCUCCUUGGUAUUCCGAGGAGCAUGCCUGUUUGAGUGUCAUUAAUAUAUAUAUCAACCUUCUCUUGUUGAGUGGUUUGGAUGUGGGGGUUUGCUGGCCUCUUAGAGGUUCAGCUCCCCUGAAAUGCAUUAGCGGAACAAACCUUGUUCAUUGGCGUGAUAACUAUCUAUGCUAUUGAAAGCAAGGGGGAAGUUCAGCUUUCUAACAGUCUUUGGACAAUUUAUCAUUUAUGUGACCUCAAAUCAGGUAGGACUACCCGCUGAACUUAAGCAUAUCAAUAAG
rnacentral:rRNA from 1 species